rnacentral:lncRNA from 1 species
AUUUCAAGUACCCAUUCUCUGGGGCUUAUCUCACUGUGGCAUCUGAAAAUUAUAUAUGAAUGAAGGCUGGUGCUACAUGAAGGAUAUGAGCCAUCCAUCCUGUGAGAUCCUUUCCAAGCCUGGAGUUUGAGCAUCUGGAUCCCCAGAAUCGAACCCCUACUUUCAUAACAAAAAGUGAACCUGAAAACA